GGACUACAGGGGUAUCUAAUCCCGUUUGCUCCCCUAGCUUUCGCGCCUCAGCGUCAGAAAAGGUCCAGCAGCUCGCUUUCGCCACCGGCGUUCCUUCCAAUAUCAACGCAUUUCACCGCUCCACUGGAAGUUCCAGCUGCCCCUACCUCACUCCAGACAAGCAGUAUCCAAGGCACUUUUCCGGUUAAGCCGAAAGAUUUCACCCCGGACUUGCUUGCCCGCCUACGCGCCCUUUAAGCCCAGUGAUUCCGAACAACGUUCGCACGGUUCGUCUUACCGCGGCGGCUGGCAC
rnacentral:rRNA from 3 species